UCUCCGGGGCGCGGGGAGCGGCCGGGCCCGCCCCGCUCCGCGCCGCGCCGCUCCGCCCCGGGGCGCGGGGCCGGCGGCGGGCGCCUGGCGGAUGGCAGCGCCGGCCUUGUGCGGAGGGUCCCGCCGGGCACGCGUGGCGGCGCCGCGGGGUUCGCCCGGCCGGGGGUGUCCCCGCCGCCCGCGGCACUGCAACACAGGGGAAAUGCACGGUGCAAAAGACGGAGGAGCGGCGGAGUGUCCGUAGGGACCAAAGCGGGUCUGCUAGCUCCCACGUGCCUGGACGUUCAGGAGCAGAGGAGCUGGCUGGAGAGGCGCCAGCAUCCCCUGGAGAGCAGCGCUGAAAAGGUGAUGGGGGUCCGGGAGAUGCCAGCAGAGCCCGAGCUGCCGGUGCCACGCAGGGACGUGCAGCGGGGAAGAGAGACCUCCUCCGCGUACAGCAGCAGCAGUUCGGGUGGACAGCUGAGGUAGCCUGGAACAGCAAACCGUUCACGUUCAGGGUCCCUUCAGCAGAUUGUUGUAGCACAAUGUGAGUGAGCGAGCCCAUUAACAGGCACACUGACAGCACUUCAAAAUUGUAUCUCAGAGAUCUGGAAAACCUGGCAUAGAGCAAGAGACUGGGUCAAGUUUGUCAAAAAAAUGUGUGGCCAGAUCACAGUCUACAAGUACCUACUUGGGAGGUGGGGGAUUUCUUGCAGUAGGAGCCUCUUUAUUCUGAAAGAAAGAAAUAAGGAGAUCUGACAAAGGGGAAAAACAGACUGGAAGUAAUUUUUUUGGGGGGUGAACAAUGAGCUUUUUGAACUGCUUAAAAGACAAAGAGGAUUCUGAGUAUUUUGUCCAACCUCUGCUACAAGACAGAGUUACACAUAGGUCACGGUGACAGAUGUCUGUCUAACCUGUGCCGACCACCCCCACCGGCCUCCUACAGGCUCACUAUCUGGACCUUUGGGGAAGUUUUUGAAAUAUCUGAGUCCCUCUCAGAGCACACAUUUAUCAUUAGGCUGUUUCUGCCACAGCUUUGACUGUGAAAAUGGAGAAGCUACCAGAGGUGCUGAGCACUGGACCCUCUUGGAGCCCUGGUGUCACUUUGGUCUGCUGGAGUAGCUCAUGGCAGGGCAUCGGGACCAUGCUGAUGGGCAGUAAGGGAUAACCAGCAGGGCAGUGAGUCCUGGGGACCUUCCAGCUACGUCUCAGGUUUGGAGUUCUGUCUGGCAGAUCAAAGGCUGGGAUGGCAGCUCCAGCUGACACAUGGGGCCUCUGUCACUCACCACCCCAUUCACUUCCCACCAAGGACAAUAUUGGCCAUCCUGUUAUGAGGGAAGAGGGAUGGCUUCUCUUCCUCUGCCACUGGGUUUGUUUCUCACCUGUUGCUGACAGCACCCAUAUUCAGGAGUUUCACCUCCAGCAUCCACCCAUGUGCCUCCCUAGGAGACCAGCAGCCAACCUUCUUCCAGCAGGGAGGGCAGUUCCUCCUCUGCUAUUGCUACUUCUGCAGACCUUUCUGGUUGUCUAGCUUCUUCCUCUUGCACGGCCACCAAGGAGCUGUGGAGCUUCUCGCAGCCAUGGGAAAGCUGAGGAGCACACAUCUCCCGUACCUCCCCUACAUACCUGCCAAGGGUCUCCACCAGCAGGCAUCUACCAUACUAGAUAUUCUCCCCUCUUGGAUUUCCCUGACAGAGCAACUUUACACUCAGGGGUCAAUUCCCCAUCUAGACAUGACCCUCACAGCUGCAUGUCAAGGGAGCUCUGAUGAUGAAACAAAAUGGUAAGCUAGCAGCAAACCUGUUUCUUAGCCAACUAACCAAACAACCCAAAUGCAGUCAUCAUGAGCUCAGAGACUUUCCCCUUAUUUCUUGGGUCAGGUUCCUUCUGAGCUCCCUUUCCUAUUCAUCAGCUCCCAAAGAGCGUGCAAGGGUGUGUUUCCUUACCCACUAUGGAAAAAAAUCCUAAGUCCAUGAUGUUUGUUGUUCUCAGCUCAGUAACAGUGAUGCAAUGUAUGUGUUGCUGGGCUGUAGUGGAGCAGCCACUUCCACAGCUUUACCAGCCCUCCACGAAUCUCUGAGGCAGUGGGCUAACGGUGUUUGGAAAGCCCAAUGUGAGGUAAGGAAUCUACCUUUUAAAAUACAAGAUCUUUAGUAUUAACUACUGUCUGAUUGACACCUUCUAAGGAGCAAUAAGAAGGUGGCUUGAGUUGGUCCUCAGAGCAAAGUGGCUUCCGAAAAUGUCCAGGCAAUGAACAGUGGAUUCUCCAGUCGCAGCAGCAGUACCUGAUACUGCAGCCCCUGCGAAUGUCAGCGUGGUAGGAAAGGUGGUGAGGAUCUUGAUAAGAAACUUAUCUUGGUAAGAAACUUUGCUCCUUUCUGUUACUGGAUUAAAUCGUUAGUGCUACAGUCAUACAGCCCAUCGGGAAUGCAGGAUGUCUGAGCUGUUGCCUCACUUUUCAGGUGCUGCUCACCAGGAAGGGGUGGAUGUGACCAUCUGUUUAUCCCCAGCUCUCACGAGCAGCUGCGUGCUAACUCUCUGUCACCGAGAUUUGCCAGCCUCCUGGACGCUGCCCCAGUGUCACACAUGCAGGGCCAGCGCAGCGGAGACGAGGAGCAGAUCCUCCGGUGCUGCCGGCAGCCGAGCCCCGCACCCAGCCAUGGCAGCAGAGGCAGCAGACGGUGAGUCAGCUUCCUGCUGUGCUUCCCACAGCGAGGGACGGCCCGGCGGGAGACUGGCAGGAACACGCAGAGGCAGGAAUUCCUCCCGGACAGGAGACAAUAUCCUGCUUUCCUCCGCCACGGGCCUGGCACACGGCUGGGAGGCAGGCAGGCCUCGGCCUCAGAAGGUCAGCAUCCGGCAGGUCCGCGCACCCUCAGCCUGCCCAGGACACCUUGGCCACGGAUCCCACCACCUCGACGGCUUGCUGCGCUCACGAGUGUCCAGCCAGGCUGGACAAGGUGUAGGAACACGGUCUGGAUUCGGGCAGCAGCCUGGGAAGCCUGCAGACCCGUGGCUGCUUUUGUACUCAGCAACAGCCAAAAAUGAAGCAUGUCCCCUUGCAGGACCCUGCCCGGCCCUGCAGUGCAGAGAGGCGCAUGUGAACAGAGGGCCAGACACCGAGGCGCUCUCCCGCUGCAGACCGCACGCAAGCAACGGGAAGGGGACACGCACCAGGGCACGCGCUGUCCCCACAGCCCUGGCACCUUCCCAGCUCCAAUUUCACAAUUGCUUGAAAUCAACUCAAAUGAAGACUUUUGAAAAGGACAGUUCCUCCCUUCUCCCUUACCCAGCUCCGCAGUGAGCCAGGCCAUGGAUUAGACCCCAGAUACGGUCCAGCCUGCCCAGCUGAGGGCUCAGACUGCCCAAACUCAGGCACGAAACUGUGGAUUUUUCCUGCAAAGAGCAACGUUGCACGGAAAACCGCGGAUGCCUGCCUCCCGGAGAGCUGCAGGCAGGGGGGAGAGCGCUCCUCUCCCGCUGGUGGGGGGGUUAGUCCCCUCUCUGCCCUGCUGUGUCCUGUUGCGGGAGGUACUUGCACACCUAGCGAGGGUCAGCGCUGCGUGUCCGCCCUAUACUGACACACCAUCACCUGCACGGGGUGCUGGGCUCCAACAACAGCUUUAACCUGCAUUUUCCAGCCACUGACCCUUAGUUCCUAGACACAUAAAAAGCUGUUCCCACCCAGGAUGGCGUCCCCGUGGACCAGGCUGGCCUCUCUCCUUCCUGCCCCUCUGCUAACAAGCUAGCCUCAUCCCCCGCAAGGCAAGAACAGCGGUGAUCAAAGCCAUGCUGAAGCUCGCCCUGCCCAAGGCACUAGGGCUGCCCUGGGAUUCGGCGGCAGGAAUUAGCACAGGCUCCUUGGGGACAGGAUCGUGUUCAUACCAGAUGUGUCCCUGCUCCAGAGGAAUGUGAUUAAGGCUGCCUGGAGAGGCUUUCACAGGGUAACAUCAAGCACUGCAGCACCUGCUCCCCCUGAGAGCGCGAGUGGAGCUUCUGUCCUGGCAAGCAGGAGGCUGCCUGCUCCCAGGGACCCAGGCUGAGAGCGGCAAGAGCCCUGCCCGGGAGAGGAGCCCUCCUUGCAAAGAGGACACUCGGGGAGGGGGUGUUCGUGGGUCCUGGGCACCCUGCUGGCUCCCACCUCACCUCAGCCACUGGUAUCAGUGAGCCCUUCUGGCCGCAGUGCAGUGCUGCCAUCGCAUACAGCAGCACUCAUGACAAGGGUGGUUGUACCCCUGCUUAGUCUGAUUACAGGAAGAAAAGCUUUUUAUCCCAUCCAGGCACAGGAAUGCCCUCCAGGGCUGCCUUUUUUCCAUAGGUCAGGAAUACAGGGUGUCUUCUUCAAUUUUUAAUCUGAGCACAAGAGCAGAGAGCUGGAGCAGAAGGGACCAGAGGACAGACACUGGGAAUGUCCAUCCUCCUGUUACUGUAGGCCAUCCCUUGGCCUCUGAGACAUCAUCUUUAGCUACAUCACUGAAAAGCUUCCUGGGGCCAACAUUAGCUGUAACUUUCUAUCAUCUGUGCUUGCCCAUGCUGGACAGACCAAAUCCAUAGAUAUUUCCAGUUUUCUUUCUCUGCAGAUAGGGGCCCUGCUCUUGUUCCCCAAGCCCAGUCCUUCCCCCUCGUCCCUGCCAUAUCCUAGGACAUACUUCCAGUUCCCAGCAGUGACUCGCUGAGGCUCCCCGCCACAGCUUCCUUGGUGCAGGUUUGCUGGGGGCCAAAACAUACUCAUGUGUCUUUUACAAUUUGGUCAUGAGAAAUGCAGUCCUGGUGGCAAGUUCCUUGAAAAAGAGAGCUGAGCUGCACAAAGCUUUAAUUGCAGUAGGAACAUGCAGGGAUGAGGCCAGCCAAGCACAUCCACCUAAUUUCCUCUCCUAUUAAGUCUGCCCUGCUUUUGUUUGACCCAGACUGAGCCUUGCUAUUAAUGGUGUGAUACUGGGGAGGUCACAGAUGGCUGUGUUACAACAGCCUUACAGAUUCUGCUUAACUGAGUGUAUAAGCAGGGCUUUGCUCAUAGAUACCAUUACUGCAGGAUUCAUGCUUUAGAAAGUGUGUCAGCCAGCUGUGGAGCAGACUAGGCUGUUUUACCAGACACGAAUAGCUCUCUGUCUUUGUCUCUGACUGUACGAUAAACCCAGGCAAGCAAGCAAGGAGGUUAAACGGUGUCAUACCGCUACCGCUGCCAAUGGCCAGGAUUUGCUGACUAGCCGACCGGGUGCUGAUAGCCUGAGCUCUGAACGUUUCCUCUUCCUGAUAUCCCCUCUGCAGUUUCAGCUUGCAAAAGCGUGUCUCUGCUAAAGGAGAGCGUGCAUCUCCUCCUUGUGCACCCCACGCUUUCUCUUCAGCAUCUGCAGCCAAAAUGAUGCCAAUCCCUGCCCUGCUCUGGCGGAAGUGUCUCUUUUAAGUCCCCAUGAGGCCGAUGCACAAAGCUGGCUUACUGAACGUAAGCAAGGCCAGGCAGCGUGCAUGGCUGUGCUGACCCCUUUCCCUCCUCUGCACUCCCCUGGCUCCAGCCUCCCUCUUUCGAAGGCAGCUGCCUCUUGUCUGCUAGUGCGCCCAGUUUCAAGGUCCCUUUCAGGGCCGAAAAGCGAGUGCAGCUCAGGUUCAGAGCAGCAGGAAAUGGCCCCCUGCCUCUGGCCAUCUGCCCUCCCCAAAGAAGAAAGCCUGUCACAGUCCCAAAUGGUGCACCAGGAGCUGGGCAGCUUCCUCCCGGUGCCCCCCGGGCUCUCCCGUCCCUCGUGUGACCUUGCUGUACCCCGUGUGCUGGCAGGGGGAGGCAUGAGCACCCCAUCCUCUGGGGAUGCUGGGUGAUGGAUGAAGGCAACAUCCAGCUGGGCUCCUGCAGCAGAGGCCACAGGGUACUGCUCUCUGCAGGAGUCACAGGAGGGGAAUUAUUCUCCCUUCUUGUUCAGCAACAAGAUCAAAUCUAGCAGCUCACAGGCGAGGAGGUAGUGGAGCAAUGUGAUCCGAGCGAUGGGGGAUGCUGUGCAUCCCUGAUGCCCCCCCUGCUUCUCUGUGCUCCACCUCCAGAUCUGAUGCCCCUUUCUGUUUUGUUGUGCUCAGAGGGAGGCAGCCUAACUCCCUGCUGCUCCCUGCAAGGGAACAGCUUCUGCAGCUGCAAUUUGGAGCUUGGACUGAGCCUGCCUUGGUGAAAUGCCUUCCCCAGCCAGCCUUAUGGCUCGCAGUGAAGCCAGCUUUGCCCCUUUCUGCAGGGAAACUUGUGCGAGCCACCUCCGCCGUCCCCUAGGUGAAGAAAGGCAGACUCCAUCUGCACUGUGGUUGCUUCACCAUGUCCCCCCUCACGCUGUGAUCUGGUGGGUGCUGGGGCAGUGGGGCCCAAGGAGCUGGCAGUCUUGCAGGCAUCCUCGGGUCUCACCUGGCUUAUGUGAUUCAGCUGUUCACAGUGAUGCAGCAGCUCAUGGGUGGCUGCACCCUGACCAAACAUGCACCUGGGCAGGAGGAUCUUGCACAGGCCACGGAACUGACUUGGUGUUGUCCCUGGCAAAGACCUUCAGGCCUGGGACUCCUGGCUCCCUCCCCAAGGGGAUACCUAACAGCACAGGGCUAAGGAACCUCUCUCUUUCCCAGGCCAGAUUUCUGGACAAAUUCGGGGCCAUGCACAUGAGCACUCACUGGUAUUGAAGAGCUGUGUGAAUGAAGCCUGUGUCCAGUGCCCAGGAUUCAGGUACUGCUGCAAGAGAAGCAUCUCUUUCAUUAAAAACCCUGUGCAAGUGGAGAGGGGCUGGAGGAAGCUGCAUCUCUCCCGUCAGCUCCGUAGCAAUGCCUGCAGGGCUGGCAGCAGGCUUUGGGAAAGGCCAGGCUCAGGUGCCUGCAAAGGGCAUGUCCGAACCUGCUGUUCCCAUGGGGAGGAUGGU